CUGGGAACUGCACAUGUGCAACUCCCAACAAAGAUUUUGUACUGCGGAUCGAGAUGGCUAGCCUUAGAGGAGAGAAGAUUCAGCCAUAACCUAUAUGUUUGAGCCUCAGUCAGACGCAGAUCACACGGACUAUCAGAAUGGUAAAACAUGAAGACAGAUCGGUUAGCACCUCUGUGACAUUCUCUAGUGAAUCUGGGCUCAGAGCCAUAAUGGAGUCCACCGUGUUAUUUAAUCUGUUCUGGUCCUCAGACAACACAGCGAUGCACAACACCAGCUGAUGCACCUAAAUAAAAACUGUCUGUGUAAAA